ACCGCGGUAGCCUAAUUGGUAGUGGCGUCGGCAGUACAGAUGCCAAUGGUCGCUGGUUCAAAUCCUGCCUACGGUG